GGUUCAGUGUUGUGUAGUGGUUAUCCCGUUCGCUUUACAUGCGAAAGGUCCCCGGUUCGUUCCCGGCGGAACCA